rnacentral:rRNA from 1 species
GGUUAAGUUAGAAAGGGCGCACGGUGGAUGCCUUGGCACUAGGAGCCGAAGAAGGACGGGACUAACACCGAUAUGCUUUGGGGAGCUGUACGUAAGCGUUGAUCCAGAGAUUUCCGAAUGGGGGAACCCACUAUCUUUAGUCGGAUAGUAUCCUUACGUGAAUACAUAGCGUGAGGAAGGCAGACCCAGGGA